rnacentral:rRNA from 1 species
GAGUUUGAUCGUGGCUCAGAUUGAACGCUGGCGGCAUGCCUUACACAUGCAAGUCGAACGGCAGCAUGAUCUAGCUUGCUAGAUUGAUGGCGAGUGGCGAACGGGUGAGUAAUACAUCGGAACGUGCCCUGUAGUGGGGGAUAACUAGUCGAAAGAUUAGCUAAUACCGCAUACGACCUGAGGGUGAAAGUGGGGGACCGCAAGGCCUCAUGCUAUAGGAGCGGCCGAUGUCUGAUUAGCUAGUUGGUGGGGUAAAGGCCCACCAAGGCGACGAUCAGUAGCUGGUCUGAGAGGACGAUCAGCCACACUGGGACUGAGACACGGCCCAGACUCCUACGGGAGGCAGCAGUGGGGAAUUUGGACAAUGGGCGAAAGCCUGAUCCAGCAAUGCCGCGUGUGUGAAGAAGGCCUUCGGUGUAAG